GACGAACGCUGGCGGCGUGCCUAAUACAUGCAAGUAGGACGCAGUUGCGAACGGGGGAGUAACGCGUAGGUAACUACCUAUUAGAGGGGGGUAAAUAUUGGAAACGAUAGCUAAUACCGCAUACUAGUAGAUGGACCUGCGUUGUAUUAGCUAGUAGGUAGGGUAAUGGCCUACCUAGGAAAGGAUACAUAGCCGACCCUGGAGGGGGAUCGGCCACACUUGGACUGGUACCCGGCCCCGACUUCUACGGGAGGCAGCAGUAGGGAAUCUUCGGCAAUGGGGGGAAACCUUACCGAGCAACGCCGCGGGAGUGAAGAAGGUUUUCGGAUCGGAAAGCGCUGUUGUUAAGGAAGCGGUACUUAACCAGAAAGGGACGGCUAACUACGUGCCAGCAGCCGCGGUAAUUC
rnacentral:rRNA from 1 species